GGGGAUAUGGCGAAAUUGGUAGACGCUACGGACUUUAAAAAUCGUGAGGGUUCAAGUCCCUCUAUCCCCA
rnacentral:tRNA from 1 species